CGUGUAGGCGGUCGAGUAAGUCAGAUGUGAAAGCCUUCCGCUUAACGGAAGAAGUGCAUUUGAAACUGCUCGGCUGGAGUACGGGAGAGGAGAGUGGAAUUCCCGGUGUAGAGGUGAAAUUCGUAGAUAUCGGGAGGAACACCAGUGGCGAAGGCGGCUCUCUGGUCCGAUACUGACGCUGAGACGCGAAAGCGUGGGGAGCAAACAGGAUUAGAUACCCUGGUAGUCCACGCCGUAAACGAUGGGCACUAGGUGUAGGAGGUAUUGACCCCUUCUGUGCCGAAGCUAACGCAUUAAGUGCCCCGCCUGGGGAGUACGGCCGCAAGGCUAAA
rnacentral:rRNA from 1 species